AGUGAACGCUGGCGGUAGGCCUAACACAUGCAAGUCGAACGGCAGCACAGGAGAGCUUGCUCUCUGGGUGGCGAGUGGCGGACGGGUGAGGAAUACAUCGGAAUCUACUCUGUCGUGGGGGAUAACGUAGGGAAACUUACGCUAAUACCGCAUACGACCUACGAGUGAAAGCAGGGGACCUUCGGGCCUCGCGCGAUUCAAUGAGACGAGGUCGAAUUAGCUAGUUGGAGGGGUAAAGGCCCACCAAGGCGACGAUCCGUAGCUGGGCUGAGAGGAUGACCAGGCACACUGGAACUGAGACACGGUCCAGACUCCUACGGGAGGCAGCAGUGGGGGAUAUUGGACAAUGGGCGCAAGCCUGAUCCAGCCAUACCGCGUGGGUGAAGAAGGCCUUCGGGUUGUAAAGCCCUUUUGUUGGGAAAGAAAUCCAGCUGGCUAAUACCCGGUUGGGAUGACGGUACCCAAAGAAUAAGCACCGGCUAACUUCGUGCCAGCCGCCGCGGUAA
rnacentral:rRNA from 1 species